AGAGUUUGAUCAUGGCUCAGGACGAACGCUGGCGGCGUGCUUAACACAUGCAAGUCGAGCGAUGAAACACCUUCGGGUGUGAAUUAGCGGCGAACGGGUGAGGAACACGUGAAGAAUCUGCCUUCAACUCUGGGAUAACUCCGGGAAACCGGGGCUAAUACCGGAUAUGAGCCUUGAUCGCAUGAUCGGGGCUGGAAAGUUUUUCGGUUGAAGAUGACUUCGCGGCCUAUCAGCUUGUUGGUGAGGUAAUGGCUCACCAAGGCGACGACGGGUAGCCGGCCUGAGAGGGCGACCGGCCACACUGGGACUGAGACACGGCCCAGACUCCUACGGGAGGCAGCAGUGGGGAAUAUUGGGCAAUGGAGGAAACUCUGACCCAGCGACGCCGCGUGAGGGAUGAAGGCCUUCGGGUUGUAAACCUCUUUCAGUAGGGAAGAAGCGAAAGUGACGGUACCUACAGAAGAAGCACCGGCUAACUAUGUGCCAGCAGCCGCGGUAAUACAUAGGGUGCAAGCGUUGUCCGGAAUUAUUGGGCGUAAAGAGCUCGUAGGUGGUUCGAUACGUCGGAUGUGAAAAUCAGGGGCUCAACCCCUGACCUGCAUCCGAUACGGUCGAGCUAGAGUUUGGUAGGGGAGACUGGAAUUCCUGGUGUAGCGGUGGAAUGCGCAGAUAUCAGGAGGAACACCGAUGGCGAAGGCAGGUCUCUGGGCCAAUACUGACACUGAGGAGCGAAAGCGUGGGGAGCGAACAGGAUUAGAUACCCUGGUAGUCCACGCCGUAAACGGUGGGCGCUAGUUGUGCGAACCUUCCACGGUUUGUGCGACGCAGCUAACGCAUUAAGCGCCCCGCCUGGGGAGUACGAUCGCAAGAUUAAAACUCAAAGGAAUUGACGGGGCCCCGCACAAGCAGCGGAGCAUGCGGCUUAAUUCGACGCAACGCGA
rnacentral:rRNA from 1 species